rnacentral:rRNA from 1 species
GCGGCAGACGGGUGCGUAACGCGUGGGAAUCUGCCCUUAGGUACGGAAUAACUCAGGGAAACUUGAGCUAAUACCGUAUAAUGACUCCGGUCCAAAGAUUUAUCGCCUAAGGAUGAGCCCGCGUCGGAUUAGCUAGUUGGUGAGGUAAAGGCUCACCAAGGCGACGAUCCGUAGCUGGUCUGAGAGGAUGAUCAGCCACACUGGGACUGAGACACGGCCCAGACUCCUACGGGAGGCAGCAGUGGG